UAGUCUAACGGCUGAACCANGCAACUUAGAAGAAUAAUAAUAUUAUUCUAGAUAAAUUUUGACAUCUGACUUUUUUUAUCUAUAAGACUCGACUAAUUCUCGUGCCAGCAGUCGCGGUAAUACGGGUGAGUCUAGUAUUAGUCAUCUUUAUUAGGUAUAAAGGGUACCUAGACAUCAUAUAAAAGUAAGAUUUGUAAAUAUGAUAGAGUUUUUAUACAGGAGGACUAGUAUUAUUGGUGUAGAGAUGCAAUUCGUUGAUACCAAAUAGACUGGUAAAAGUGAAGACAAUCCUUCAUGUACAAACUGACGUUGAGGGACGAAGGCUUGAUAUAAACGAAAAGGAUUAGAGACCCUUGUAGUCCAAGGAGAGAAUUAUGGAUGCCAUAUGUAGGAACAAUGUUUCUAUGUAUAAAUGAAAAUGUAAGCAUCCCACCUCAUGAGUAAAGUGGCAACACCGGAAUUGAAAUCAUUAGGCCGUGUUUGAAACCAGUAGUGAAGUAUGAUAUUUAAUUCGAUGACCCACGAAAAACCUUACCAAAAUUUGAAUGAGUCUUAUAAGACUUAGGUCUGAUUUUAUAUUUAUUAUAAAAUUAGACUUUAAAUAAAAAUUUUUAAUUUUUAUAUACAAGUGUUGCACGGCUGUUUUUAGUUGGUGUUCUGAGACUAAACAAUGUUUGAACAUAAUUUAUUAAUAUUUAUUAUGCUUACGUUUUUAAUUGACUCAAGCCCUUUAUAUUCAUUUAAUGCUAAUGGUUAAUUUAUCUAAUAAAUAAAGGUUAUACUGAAAAGUAUAACAAGGGGACCAAUACAAGUC
rnacentral:rRNA from 1 species